rnacentral:rRNA from 1 species
AACGAACGCUGGCGGCAUGCCUAACACAUGCAAGUCGAACGAUGCCUCCGGGCAUAGUUGCGCACGGUUUCGUAACGCGUGGGAAUCUGCCCUUGGGUUCGGAAUAACUCGCCGAAUGGCGAGCUAAUACCGGUUGAUGACUUAAGUCCAAAGAUUUAUCGCCCAAGGAUGAGCCCGAGUAUGAUUAGCUUGUUGGUUGGGUAAAGGCCCAGCAAGGGAACGAUCCUUAGCUGGUCUGAGAGGAUGAUCAGCCACACUGGGACUGAGACACGGCCGAGACUACGACGGGAAGGAGGAGUGGGGAAUAUAGGAAAAUGGGGGAAAGGCUGAAAAAGCAAGGACGCGAGAGUGAUGAAGGCAUUAGGGUAGAAAAGCUCUUUAAACCGGGAUGAUAAUGACAGUAACGGGAGAAUAAGCACCGGCUAACUCCGUG